GAAGGUCUUCAAUUAAAUUAUCUGUAAAGUUGGUAAAGAACACAAAACUUUAGGAAGUAAGGACAGUAUUACUCAUAUCUAGCACCAAAAACAUAGAACUUACCAAAAAAUACUGAGGAAAAAAAAGGGCAAAAAAUUCAUGUGCAUGAUGGAGCAGAAUUAGAAUAUAAUAAUUCUUACAGCAAAUGACCAUACAAUGACAACUCAAUCAACAAAGCAUUGAAAACUUGUUAGCAUUGAUCACUAAAUCAGACAAACAUUUCCAUGGAAUCUUGUGAUCUUCUUUCUCUAGUAUUACCAACCUCAUGUAUGCAUAAGACUGAAUCCAUUCAAUUCUGACACAGAUUACUAAUCCUUAAGAAAUACUUCACUGGUGGCUUUGAAUGGCCAUGGAAAAAAGUGUGAUAAAGGAAAGUCCCAAAUUCCCCCUACCAUAGAGUUAGAUGACUAAUGAAGCUUAUCAAAUUUAUACAUUAAAUUUCACAAUCCCCAGCCAACUGAACCAUUAACAAUUGGCAUGACUCACAUCUAGGGCCCCUUUCAUGUUUGUGACAAUUCUGUUGAAAGACAUUAACAUCAUAUUCAUCAGCUUCCAUUAUUAACAAACCUUCAACUGAUUAGGAGCUGAUACCUGCCAGUAAUCUUCAAAUGGGAAAGGUCAAGAGUAUGAACCAUGGAAACAAAACAAGAAUA
rnacentral:misc_RNA from 1 species